GACGAACGCUGGCGGCGUGCUUAACACAUGCAAGUCGUACGGUAAGGCCCUUUCGGGGGUUCACGAGUGGCGAACGGGUGAGUAACACGUGAGUAACCUGCCCACAACUUUGGGAUAACGCUAGGAAACUGGUGCUAAUACUGGCUAUGUUCUCCUGCUGCAUGGUGGGGGUUGGAAAGCUCCGGCGGUUGUGGAUGGACUCGCGGCCUAUCAGCUUGUUGGUGGGGUAGUGGCCUACCAAGGCGGCGACGGGUAGCCGGCCUGAGAGGGUGACCGGCCACAUUGGGACUGAGAUACGGCCCAGACUCCUACGGGAGGCAGCAGUGGGGAAUAUUGCACAAUGGGCGCAAGCCUGAUGCAGCAACGCCGCGUGCGGGAUGACGGCCUUCGGGUUGUAAACCGCUUUCAGCAGGGACGAAGCUUUUUGUGACGGUACCUGCAGAAGAAGCACCGGCUAACUACGUG
rnacentral:rRNA from 1 species